rnacentral:tRNA from 1 species
CUUGCUUACNCCAAGAAAAUGUAUGUGAAAACCAUACCGUCUUGA